rnacentral:rRNA from 1 species
CCAAUAGCGUAUAUUAAAGUUGUUGCAGUUAAAAAGCUCGUAGUUGAAUUUUAGGCCUGGCCGGGCGGUCCGUCUUUGGCGAGUACUGUCCUGUGUCGGGUCCACCUUCUGGUGAACCAGUAUGUCCUUUAUUGGGUGUGCCGGGGAGCCAGGACCAUUACCUUGAAAAAAUUAGAGUGUUUAAAGCAGGCAUUUGCUUGAAUAGAUUAGCAUGGAAUAAUAGAAUAGGACGUUGUGGUUCUAUUUUGUUGGUUUCUAGGACCACCGUAAUGAUUAAUAGGGAUAGUUGGGGGCAUUAGUAUUCAAUUGUCAGAGGUGAAAUUCUUGGAUUUAUUGAAGACUAACUAUUGCGAAAGCAUUUGCCAAGGAUGUUUUCAUUAAUCAAGAACGAAAGUUAGGGGAUCGAAGACGAUCAGAUACCGUCGUAGUCUUAACCAUAAACUAUGCCGACUAGGGAUCAGGCAAGGAUAUUUUGACUUGUUUGGCACCUUAUG